rnacentral:rRNA from 1 species
CCUACGGGGGGCAGCAGUAGGGAAUAUUGCACAAUGGGGGAAACCCUGAUGCAGCAACGCCGCGUGGGGGAUGAAGGUUUUCGGAUUGUAAACCCCUUUUGUUAGAGAAGAUAAUGACGGUAUCUAACGAAUAAGCAACGGCUAACUCCGUGCCAGCAGCCGCGGUAAUACGGAGGGUGCGAGCGUUACCCGGAUUCACUGGGCGUAAAGGGCGCGUAGGCGGGUUAGCAAGUCAGAUGUGAAAUCCUCUGGCUUAACCUUAGAGCUGCAUUUGAAACUGUUAAUCUAGAGUAUGGGAGAGGUAAGUAGAAUUCUUGGUGUAGGGGUAAAAUCCGUAGAGAUCAAGAGGAAUACUCAUGGCGAAGGCGACCUGCUAGAACAUAACUGACGCUGAUGCGCGAAAGCGUGGGGAGCAAACAGGAUUAGAUACCCCAGUAGUC